GGCCUACGGGGGGCAGCAGUCGGGAAUAUUGCGCAAUGGAGGAAACUCUGACGCAGUGAUGCCGCGUAUAGGACGAAGGUCUUCGGAUUGUAAACUAUUGUCGUUAGGGAAGAGAAAGGACAGUACCUAAGGAGGAAGCAUCGGCUAACUCCGUGCCAGCAGCCGCGGUAAUACGGAGGAUGCGAGCGUUAUCCGGAUUUAUUGGGUUUAAAGGGUGCGUAGGCGGAAUGCCAAGUCAGCGGUAAAAUCGCGGGGCUCAACCUCGCUCCGCCGUUGAAACUGGCGUUCUUGAGUGGGCGAGAAGG
rnacentral:rRNA from 1 species